GCUGGGUAUGGUGGUGCGCACCUGUAAUCCCAGCUACUUGGGAGGCUGAGGCAGGAGGAUGGUAGUUGUGAGGCCAGCCUGAGCAACAUAGUGAGAUUCUGUUUCAA
rnacentral:sRNA from 1 species